GCCUCAGGAUGAUGCCACAGCUCUGGCCUCUUCCCAUUCCCUUACCCACUUCCCACUCCUAACCUAUCCCUAACAAAACUGUUGAGUUCUUCUCAAGAAAAGAUCUACAGGAAAAAGGGCACUGGGAAGAUCUGCUACCAGAUUGCUGGGAAACACUGCUGGGAUUGCUGGGAUAAAUCUCUCACAGCAGAAAUGCUGUGGCAGACCUCUGAACCUGCUUGAAAAGCUUUGCACAGAACCCAGACCCCUGCUGUGAAAAGGUUCGGUUUUUAAGAGACAGCAUUUCUCAUCUGGUCAAAUGUCGUCAUAGAAAGCCUCCGAUCAGCUGUGGAAAAGAAAAUACUCAUGAAGAGAAAUUAUAAGUUAGUCAACACCUAACAAAGAUAGGUGGAAAAAAAAUGCAAGAGAAACAAAGAAAAAAAACUCCCAGUGCAAGAGAGACAGGUGCGCCAAGGAAAAUUCCCAGCUUCUCUCUCUCUAGCCAGAGGGAGCACCAGACACAUCAUCUUCAAGGUCUCCAAGCUGAAAUUCUGCCCAAAGCAGAAAAUAUUUUUAAAGAAAGACUUUAGACUUGCUUCCUGCAAAUAAUGUGAGGAUUGACUGAACAAAAUUACUUCUCUAUUAGCGUGCAUUUGCCUGUGAAGGACCGUCUCUGAAAGGCUCCACAGUCUCUCUCCAGACUUCUCUGUUGUACACCUGGAAAUGCUUAGUGCAUACCUUUUGGAAGCUCAGUGCCAUCUGUAACUGAUACACAAGCACCGAAGGGUUGUGAUAAGGUUCUAGAUCCAUUUUGGCAGUCACUCUCGACAUAUGGUAUCAAGAUUGGCUGUGGACUUAAGAGAUACCACAAGUGGGUCACACACAGCACAGGAUACCAGUGAAAUGAGCACAGUUACUUCGCAGGCACCCUCAUCAGCAACCUUGUGCACAGGAUCAAUGCUUCAGUGAACUCCCUCAACUCUACCUUCCUACUGCCAGAACAUCCCAGGAUUUGGAAUCAUGAUUUUCACUAGCUUGCCUAGCAAAGACCAGAUCACAGUCAUUUGCACCAUGUGAAUCUGAUCUUCUGGUGCAGAGGUUCUUCAUCAUCAAUGGCCUUCCUCCCAGAUCAGAUUGGUCCUGGUGGAAGGGUGGAGUGGAAGAGGAGACGACUCUGUCUGUGUAAGCAAUGCAGGACUUCUCCGCUAAACCUGCUCAGAAUGUGCACUCUCCCCAGCUGUGCACCUCCUCUGCUAACAACCAAACCAACGAACCCAUUUGCCACAGACCAAGUGAUCCCUCUCAUGAAACAGUUAUUUCACCCUAUAUCAAAAUAAUGCAGUUCAGAAAAUUGGUAGGAAAUGUUGCAGUUCAAUGAUCAGACUCUAAACUGUUCUGUAAUUAGGUGGCUCAUCACUGAAGUCAGAGUUGGUAUUUUGCAUUUGCAUGUGUCAAAUACAUGAAAACAUCAACUACAUACAUUAGGCUCCCUGAAUUGUGUCUCUACCAUUGAAAUGAGAAUGUGACCACAGAUUUAUCUAACAGCGCUGGACUGUCACUUGGAACUAAGACCGUAAAGGAUUGAUUUGCCUGAAGGAACUGAACCAAGACUGUGUUGGGAAAAGAUAAUUUCAAUAAAAUCAAAAAUCUCUUUUCUUUUUCUGUUGUCAUCAGUAAAAUUAACUUUCAUUUAAUUGCAUGAAAUAUUACAUUCAAAUAAAAAGAUUUACUUGUUG
rnacentral:lncRNA from 7 species